CAUGGGGGCAGCUACACAUGCAGUCGAGCGGCAGCGGGAAAGUAGCUUGCUACUUUUGCCGGCGAGCGGCGGACGGGUGAGUAAUGCCUGGGGAUCUGCCCAGUCGAGGGGGAUAACUACUGGAAACGGUAGCUAAUACCGCAUACGCCCUACGGGGGAAAGCAGGGGACCUUCGGGCCUUGCGCGAUUGGAUGAACCCAGGUGGGAUUAGCUAGUUGGUGAGGUAAUGGCUCACCAAGGCGACGAUCCCUAGCUGGUCUGAGAGGAUGAUCAGCCACACUGGAACUGAGACACGGUCCAGACUCCUACGGGAGGCAGCAGUGGGGAAUAUUGCACAAUGGGGGAAACCCUGAUGCAGCCAUGCCGCGUGUGUGAAGAAGGCCUUCGGGUUGUAAAGCACUUUCAGCGAGGAGGAAAGGUUGGUAGCUAAUAACUGCCAGCUGUGACGUUACUCCCAGAAGAAACACCGGCUAACUCCCUGCCAGCAGCCGCGGUAAUACGGAGGGUGCCAGCGUUUUUCGGAAUUACUGGGGGUAAAGCGCACGCACGCGGUUGGAUAACUUGGAUCUGAAAUCCCCGGGGGCCCCCUGGGAAUU
rnacentral:rRNA from 1 species